GGCAUCAUGGCCGAGAUUUUAGGCGAUAAACUGUAAAUUUAUUUACGAGUGUUUCUCUUUUGCC
rnacentral:tRNA from 1 species